rnacentral:lncRNA from 1 species
GUCAUCAUCUUUUCCUCCAUCUCCAUCACUGAUGUGUUAAAUAUAGCAGGAUGAUAGAGAUUCAUAGAUUGCCAUGCUCAUAGAGCUUAAUUAGCAGCUGAGACUGCGCAGAGAUAAUUGUUUUGGUGGAGGACAUUUCGGUGUUUUUGGAGUUCAUGGUUUUCGAGUUCUAGGCAUUUUAUAGAAUUAAUUGGCUUUGGAUCAAUGUGAUCAGAUCAGAGAAUUCAGAUUUUUAUAAGAAGAACUAACAAAUGAAAAUUGUAGUGGUG